GCAUGUAUGGCUGAGUGGUCGAAAGCAAUGGACUCAUAAUCCAUUUCCGAUUGGACAUCGCAGGUUCAAACCCUGCUACAUGCA
rnacentral:tRNA from 2 species